UCGAACUAUAGAGUUUGAUCCUGGCUCAGAUUGAACGCUGGCGGCAUGCCUUACACAUGCAAGUCGAACGGCAGCACGGGAGCAAUCCUGGUGGCGAGUGGCGAACGGGUGAGUAAUAUAUCGGAACGUGCCCAGUCGUGGGGGAUAACGUAGCGAAAGCUACGCUAAUACCGCAUACGAUCUACGGAUGAAAGCGGGGGAUCGCAAGACCUCGCGCGAUUGGAGCGGCCGAUAUCAGAUUAGCUAGUUGGUGGGGUAAAAGCCCACCAAGGCUACGAUCUGUAGCUGGUCUGAGAGGACGACCAGCCACACUGGAACUGAGACACGGUCCAGACUCCUACGGGAGGCAGCAGUGGGGAAUUUUGGACAAUGGGCGAAAGCCUGAUCCAGCAAUGCCGCGUGCAGGACGAAGGCCUUCGGGUUGUAAACUGCUUUUGUACGGAACGAAACGGCCCUUUCUAAUAAAGGGGGCUAAUGACGGUACCGUAAGAAUAAGCACCGGCUAACUACGUGCCAGCAGCCGCGGUAAUACGUAGGGUGCGAGCGUUAAUCGGAAUUACUGGGCGUAAAGCGUGCGCAGGCGGUUAUAUAAGACAGAUGUGAA
rnacentral:rRNA from 1 species